GCUGACGAGUGGCGGACGGGUGAGUAAUGUCUGGGAAACUGCCUGAGUGAGGGGGAUAACGAACUGGAAACGGUAGCUAAUACCGCAUAACGUCGCAAGACCAAAGAGGGGGGACCUUCGGGCCUCUUGCCAUCAGAUGUGCCCAGAUGGGAUUAGCUUGUUGGUGGGGUAACGGCUCACCAAGGCGACGAUCCCUAGCUGGUCUGAGAGGAUGACCAGCCACACUGGAACUGAGACACGGUCCAGACUCCUACGGGAGGCAGCAGUGGGGAAUAUUGCACAAUGGGCGCAAGCCUGAUGCAGCCAUGCCGCGUAGUAUGAAGAAGGCCUUCGGGUUGUAAAGUACUUUCAGCGGGGAGGAAGGUGUUGUGGUUAAUAACCGCAGCAAUUGACGUUACCCGCAGAAGAAGCACCGGCUAACUCCGUGCCAGCCGCCGC
rnacentral:rRNA from 1 species